UACGAAGGGUGCAAGCGUUGUUCGGAUUUACUGGGCGUAAAGCGCGCGCAGGCGGAUUGGCAAGUCAGGUGUGAAAUCUCGGGGCUCAACUCCGAAACUGCGCCUGAAACUAUCAAUCUAGAGUGUUGGAGGGGGAAGUGGAAUAUCGCAUGUAGGGGUAAAAUCCGUAGAGAUGCGAUGGAACACCAGUGGCGAAGGCGACUUCCUGGACAACAACUGACGCUGAGGCGCGAAAGCGUGGGGAGCAAACAGG
rnacentral:rRNA from 1 species